UUGGUGAUUCGGAUCGGCCAGGGAGAGGCAGGCAUAGCCAGGUGGCUGCAGGUUCUCUCAUGGAUCCUCCAGCUGCAUCUGCCUCUCCCCGGGAAGGGAAGGCUGCAGGA